rnacentral:rRNA from 1 species
AGGAUUCAGUCUGUAGUUGUCGCAGAGCUGGUCGGGGGCUUCCCCGGGGCCGUCCGACUGCGAAGGACAGACGCAUUUGACUCCCUCUCCGAGGACGCCGCAGCCCGCGGGGAAGUGCAAACGUGACGGCCUUGAGGGCGGGAGAUGGCAGGUGGCCGGUGGCGAGCUUCGUGCUUUCCGCCGGUUGUUAGCCGUCCCGCCGGUGGCCCGUCUCCCCGCGGAGGUAUCGUGACGCCUUUCGGGGCGUUCGACGUCUCCUCCUCGCCCGGACGUGCAGUGGCGAGCGAAGGCAGCCGCGCGGCCGCACUACGUCGUAGUGGGCCAGCGGCCGGCGGCCGCUGAGGACCGGUUGGAGGCUGGAGGCUAGCGGCGAGUAGGUCGGUCACCCACCCGACCCGUCUUGAAACACGGACCAAGGAGUCUAACAUGUGCGCGAGUCAAUGGGUCUUGAACAGGCCCAGAGGCGCAAUGAAAGUAAAGGUCGGCACCAGCCGACCGAGUCGGGAUAGGCGCACCGACGACCCGCCCUGUGCCGUUUACGGCUUGGGCGGAGUAUGAGCGCACACGUUGGGACCCGAAAGAUGGUGAACUAUGCCC